AAAACUGCUGCCGCGGAACUGCAACUUAGAUACUUUUGUGAGAUAAGCAGCUUCGCAAUGUGCUGUCCGGAGGUUUUGGUGCUUUUCAUAGCGCUGUGCAUCUUUAUUUUGCCGGGAGUAUUUGAUUGAAAACUGUGUACAUUUCUAUGGCAAAAUGGUCCCUCACUCACUAUCCAACCCAGUGAACAGAGCUCACCACGGUGUUUUUCUGGCCAUUGCUCUGCUGUUCAUAGUCAUUGCACUGUGAGCAGGAUGGUCUUACCUUCAAAACAGAAGCAAUCUUCAAGCCCAUCCAUUGAGGUGAUGUACAGAAUGGAGUCUAAAGAACUCCGGGAUCUGGACUAUAAAGCACUUUUUGCUAUAUUAAUUUUGGUGCAAUUAUAUGUUUAUGCUGCUAUGCAAACCGUUCUCACUUACAUUGUGACGGUGGCGAACGACUCUGUACAUUUCAAUGAAUCAGUUUAACUAAUUAUUGUAUGACUUGCUCAUUUGUCACCACCUCAUGCCGUAAAUAUUCAAUUUCCAGAAAUGGUCACUGCACAGAUCUGUGAGUGAAAUAAUAAUGUACGAUGAAUCAAAAUCCCCACCACAAUUUGGAAAGCUAUGAAGAUGAAGAAACGGAGGGAUACAAAUAGUGAAACAUUCCAGUGCUGUUGGACUUUAUCAGCACUCUUGAAACUUCACUUGUCCAAUCAGAUUCGAAGAACUAACUGUUGAGUAAAUUGUAUAUAAACAGUAUUUUUGUGUUUUGUAUGGAUACAAAACUGUAUUGAUAGAUGUUGAAGUUCUGUGACACUGUCUUAAACUACAGAUAAAUAGCAUUAUACAAGCAAAUAGUAAAAAAAAAGAAAAAGCAUAUAAGAACUGAAUGAAAUAAUAUAUUACCAAGUUGCAGGGAAGAUUAAUCUAGGAAAUGCAAAAUUUUUGUCAUGCAAGUAUAUUCAGGAAAUGCCCCAGUUAUUGAGGAGCACAUGAGGAAAGUGUCAUUCAAAAAAUAAACUAUUUUUUUAUUUCAAAUGAAAUUUUCUACGUGGCAGGUGAAAUGUUUUAGGACUAAGUACAAUUCCCCAGGUCUAAAAAUAAAUAUCAUACAUGCUGGACAAUGGCCAAUGUAUAUAUCCAUGAAUUAUUAAAUUCACAAUUAAGCUAACAAAUAUGUCUAAUGAGAUUCAUCCAAAUGCAGGAUAUACAUUUAUUUAUUUUUUUGUAAUAAAUGUUUUUGGAAAUUUUAAACAUUAAAGUAUUCAGAAAAUUAAAACUAUAUCUUGAAGAAAA